UUAAGAUAUUGAUAUUAUAGGGGAAGGUUUUUAUAAUAACCUUUACCAACUUGGACUAUUUGGGGGAAUAAAGAAGACCACACUCCACAGUGGGCUAUAUCACUAAAUAUACAGUCCACUACUAUUUUGUGGCCUACGUG